rnacentral:tRNA from 1 species
CCGGCUGUAGCUCAAGGGAUAGAGUAUUUCUAUGACGAAAUGGGUUGCGGGUUCGAAUCCCGCCAGCCGGA